CUCUUCACCUCGCGUUAACAAAGCUUAAAACGUAGGCUAAAGGUGGGGCUGAAAGUUUACCCGCUGAAGUAGAAGCAUGCAAAUGCUUCAUAACUAACUAGCAGGAGCUUUGCAGACGACAGAAGAGGACUAACGUUAGCAGAGCACGAGCACAGCCCAGUGAAAGACCACCUGAAGUGGCAGGCAGAAGAUGACAGGGAUGAGAAUGUUUUUCUCACAUCUGAUUGUCUUGGUGUGAUGUGGACCAGUAUCUAAUUCUUUGGGGAGCUUGUAUUGUUUUGUUUAUGUGUCAGUGUAAAGACUGUGGUGCGGAAGUGUCUAGGCGAUCAGAAAUUCUUAAACAUUACAGACUAAAACAAAAAAUUUGGGGCGUGGCCAUCAUUUCAAGUGUAUAUACCCUAAUUGUCCGUGCAUUUUUAAGACUUGGAAUUCACUUUUGACACAUUUGCCGCUUUUGUGUGGCAAAAAAGUCGAAAAUUCAGGAGAGAGAGGCUACUCUCCAGAUGUUGCACAUGACAUCUUUGAAGGCAUAUUACCAGUUGAGUUGGCACACUGCCUCAACUUAAUUAGAUUGAAGAAUGGCACAGCAUCUGAAGUUGAGAGUCAUUGUGGACGACGAUGACUUUAGAAGACUUGAUCUCCAUUCAGGAAUGCCAGAAACUAGUUACACAAUACAAUUUGCCAAGCAUUUGGAAUUGACACAGACUUUCAUAUUCAGUUCAUGGAUCCUGACUUCAACAAUGAAUUCAUGAAUGUUACAUCAAUACAGGACAUAAAGGACAGAAGUACAAUCAAGUUGGUGUACAUGGCAACCCUAACUCUAACCCCCCUAAAUGAUGUGUGUUUGAGUCCAUCUUCUUUAAUGCAGAAUGCUCCCAGCACUUCAGGAUCAUCUGGAGCACCAGUGAGCAGCCAAACAUCUCCCCUUUCCCCACAGGCCUCGUUGUCAUCAACAGACUCGGAUAGCACCAUCAUUCUGCCACAUUCAGACAAUGACUUAAGAUCACGUGCAUGGCCAUGUGAAUUCCCCAUUCCUCGCUUUCCAUACAAUGUAGAGGUGCAGCUUCAGCGUGGAAAUGCCAGCUUCAGAGACACUGGCACUCAACUGAAGAUUAUUCCAGGGUUGAAGUCUGACAUCUUAGAGAAGCUAGCUGAGGAGAUCUUCCAGUAUACAGCAUAUCCACAAAAUCACCAAAAAGAUGAGGUAGCAGAGGCACUUAUCAAAAAACUUCCCUGUUUGAAGGAACCAUCUGCUACUGGUUAUUAUGGCUGGAUGAUUAGCCUAAAAUAUAAAAUGGCUAAUUACAGGACAAAGAUGCGAAACAUUAGAUGUCCAGAAGUGGCUGUAAAUGCUUUGAAAAACAAACGUAGUGAUGAACGCCUCCCAGGCAAAAAUGUAAAGAAGCCUAAAAAGGCUGAAGUCAACUUUUGUCCUUCACACCCUGCUGGCAAAACAGAUGAAAGCUUAGAAUCUGUCAGACUUGAACUGUUGAAUGAUGUCAGACAAAGAAACUGCACCGUGUGUAAAAAAGAUGUCACAAACGUUCUCCUACAGAAGAAAAGAGGUAGUGCAGGAAAAUCCAGCUGCUGGAGAGUUUAAAGCCAGGUGGCCUGCACUUUUUCAUAUUUAUGAGAUAAAUGCUGAAUUCCAGCGCAUAACAACAAUCCCACUUGAAACAACCUUCAUGGCUCAGUUGGACAGCCAUUUACCCCAGCUGACAUCUAUUUUCAAGAAGAAGGCAGGUGUUUCUGGCCAGAACCUAGCCAAACAUCUGGCUGUUUUGCAAGAGGCUACAAGUGACAUGCGUAUAUGUCAUCAACAAGGAAGGUGGAGAAAUUGGACCUCAUGAUGACAUUGGCAUUUAUGUUGAAGGAGAAGUCAUUCUGGAAAACAUUGGAUCUGUAGUCCAAGCAUGUGCAAUGAUGCU